UGUUGGAAUGCCCAAGAUUAAGAAAUACGUUCACUCUUGCUAUUGUCACAAGCCUUCCAGAGUUGAGGAGACUUGAAGUAAGAGGAUGCAAUGAAUGGGAGGGAAUAUUUUGUGAAGAGUCACUUAAGAAUCUUUCUACUACUUCCACUGUUUGCUUCCCCAAACUAGGGACCAUUUGUAUAUCUGAUUGCCACAAAGUGAGAAGGGUGUUCUCAUAUUCUCUGGCAUCUCAUUGUCCUUCAUUGGAGAAAAUAACUAUAAGGAAUUGCUCUCAACUGGAGAGGGUUGUUGAAGCUUAUGAAGGUGAAGUAGCUGCUCAUCAUCAAAGGCUGUUUCCUAAACUGAAUGAUUUGGAUCUCGGGAAGUUGCCAAAGUUGAGAGAGAUUUAUGAAGGUUAUGAAUUCAACCUCCUUUCUGGUACUAUAGCAAUAGAAGAUUGUCCAAACAUAUCAAAAAUCUCAAAAAUCCCAUUAGAAGACAAGCCCUCAUCAUCAGCCUUGGAGAUCAAAUUGGAAAGUGAGAUAAUGAAGGGCUGAUGAUGAGCUUUGGAUCUUCCAAUGGUUUCUUUAUCUGCAUUUGUGUUUUACUAAGUUGUGUGUGAAAAUAUGUUGGAUUUGUAUCAGUGUGUUGAAAAUUUCACAAAAACUUUUUUUUAAAAAAAAAAAGAAGCUUAAAAAUUUAGACAUACAUUUACUUUGAAGUUGUAUUUUAUUUGAGUCUGUUGAAACUAUGUAACUACAUUCAAGAUUGCACACAAAAUACAAUAAUUGUGUGGCCCUUGUGUGCACAACUUAUUUUAUUUCAAAUAUUGUAUCAAUGAUUUCUUAUGUUAUUCUUUAUUUCAAU